rnacentral:snoRNA from 1 species
UGCAAUGCCGACCCACGUGAGCGAGAAAAGACGCUUUGACUGCUGGCAACUG